UAUUUAUGAUUCUCAUAUUUAUUAUUUCCCGCAUUGCAGCUUCAACCAUUUCCGUCCAAAUCCGCCCACCCUUCUCCAGAGUGCCCCCGCCGCCCGCGACGAGCCGCACCCGCCGCCGGAGAAUCUGAUCUAAUCCGACGGCCCUGAUCGCAUCCGAGCAACUAAUUAACAAUCCCGUAAAACUAGUCGCCCCCUUCUCCCUCUUAAAUUAGCAAGAGGGUCGCCGCCCAACUCCGAUUCUAGGGUUUGGUUUCCAUUUCUUCUGGAAUCUCGAACCUGUGUCGUGUUUCCUUUCGAUUUCGAGGGGGGUUUCUUCGGAUGGCCACGAGCUUUGAUCGAUGGGAGAAAGAUCCUUUCUUCUCCGCCGCCGAGGAGGUCCAGGAAGCCGCCGAUAGGUUGGAAUCGAUUUAUAGGCAGUGGAUCCAAGAGAGGAAACAGGCGUCGAAGCUCCCAGGAAGAAGCGAAUGCGCCUCCGUCGAGCUCCACAGAGAGCUUCACACAGCCCUCGGCACCGCAAAAUGGCAGCUCGAGGAAUUGGAGCGGGCGGUCAGGUCGAAUGAUGAUGCCUGUUUGGCGGGGGAAGAUACAAGAGCUCGGCACAGCCAAUUCCUGGCAGCAAUUGGAAAUCGGAUAUCAGUGAUGGAGAAUGCUUUGAAGGAAUCUAACAUCGAGGCGGGCGAGGCUGCACUGAGCUGGGUCCGAUUGGAUGAGCGAGAACGAGACGAGCUUGCUCGAUUCCUAUCCUGCCCUGUCUUAGAAAGAGAGGAGUCAUUGAUGAUUCCAUCUGUUGGUGACCUUGAUAAUAGGAACGGUAUGAUGAAAAUGAAUGGAGAGCCUUCUGUUGGCAGCUCGAAGAAUUCUUGCAACUCAAAUGAAUCGUAUUCAUGGGAAACGAGGGAGGAGAGGGUGCCCGGGCCUCGGAGGGCAGCAAGCGCCAGUGCUGAUAUCGGGGCAUGGAAGAUUUUGGUUCCCAGUGAGGGCGAGGAUACUUCCGAGAGAUCAUCUGAUGAUCGACCUAAUGCCCCCCCUCCAAGGAUACUUACCUUCUCUGUGUUAACUGGUGCUUUAGAAUCAACAUCUAGAAUGAAAUGGUACAAAAAUGGGUUCAGGAAGUGGAAAGCAAGGCACCAGCAUGAUGCGACAGACUCGAUCCCCUUACAAAAUCAUCAGGAAUUUAAUGGUUGCUAUGAGAGAAGUAAAAGUUGCCUUAGCAAUUGUGAAGAGGAGAAAUGUGAUAAGCAGCUUGAUGGGUGGGUUGGAGCUCUUCAAAGACAACUUCAAAGGUCUCAGUAUCAAAUUCAGUAUGGUCGGCCUAUUCAGAUUAUUCUUUGGGCAAUUCUUGCUGUCUUAUUGAUUGCAAUAUUUGCAUUUUGUGCUACUUAAAGGAGCUAGUGGAAAUUUUUCAUUGGUGUAUGGGUGUGGAGACAAAUUUGCUACUUUAACAGCUGAUAAGGAGCAACUGGCCACCUGAGCUUUCAAUGGAGAAAUGCUUGUGAGACAGCCAGCAGCAUGUUGCUGUGUUUCAAAGAACUGUAGUGGGUUCAAUGGAUGAAUGACAUCUGAUGCGGGAAAAGCACUUGUUUGAGACAGUCAAGUUGUUGGUGUGGUCUUUUGCUAAAAGGCAAGAAAAGAUACCAGAUUGAACGUAGUGUUCUGUUACUUCUGUACCUUUCUGAAGAUUUGGGAUCUUGACAUCCAUCUCAAGGUUUGCUCUUUCCCAUGGUUCCCUGCUAUUUAGCUACUUCCAGGAGUAACAAUAGGCUAUCCAAAGAAAGAUGGUAUUGGGGAAGGCAAGUUGGAGUUUGAUUAUCCCAGUUCAGAGGGCACAUUUGUCAGACAGGUGCUGUUUAAUUUGCUUAAUCUGAUGGCAUGCUGCUACCUCCUUCGAAGCUGUUGAUCCAGUUGAUUGUAUUUUAAUGUUGUUGUGAGAAUGCUACCUUCUUUAAUGUUCUCAGAUCCCAGAAAGUGCACUCUUUCUGUAACUCGGACAUUGAAAGUUACCACAUAAGGGUGGAUGAUGUGGUUUCACACAAAGGUGACUGAAACCAGAGCCUGUUGAAAAACAAUUCAAUUUUUUAAACUUGACAUUGAUUGUUGAUGAAUGUACCAUUACACAAAGGAAGUGCAUCAUCAACUACCAUGAGGAUUAGUUUGAUUUCUUGGCUUACAUCUGAUGUAUAUUUCCUUUUGUAUUUUCUGAUAGGACAGCUUGUUUGUACUCCUAACAUUAUUUCAGCCAAUAGAAUAGAAUAGAACCAAAAUUUUCACCAGCAA